CACACACACACACACACACACACGCACACACACACUUAGAAUCACUGUUCCCCUGGUGAACUGCUUAUUUUAUCAUUAGGAAAUGUUUCUCUACUAGUUUUUAAUAUGUUAGAACUUACGUCUGCUAUCUCUUUCUUUUAGUUUUCACUUCUCUCUUUAUUCUGCUGCCUUGCUGUGCAUAUUUUUUAAAAACACUACUUUGAUAAAGACCAUAACUAAAAGCAACUCAGAGAGGAAACAAUUUAUUUCAUCUUACAUUUCCAGCCAACCAGAACACACAACUUGCUUUAUUUAUAGUAUUCUUGAAUGUAUGUUGUUGUAUAAUUCUCUUAAUGGUGUGUGUGUGUGUGUGUGUGUGUGUGUGUGUGUGUGUGUGUGUGUGUGUGUGUGUGUGUGUUUACAACAAAGGUAUUUCUUCAGUGUGGCCACACUGUGAAGAGGAACAAAGAGACUCAUUGCCUGCCUCUAUCCCAAAUCCACUUUCAGGGUCUUAACAUGAGGCUUAAGCUGAAAUAAAAAGCAAGAGAUAUGCAUGGCUAAGCAUCCCUGUCAAGGUGUGGUCCUGCUCACCAUCAUUGUCUGGAGAUGCAGUCUCUCCUGUAAGGUGAUCUGACAAGUUGACAGAACUACAUGCAAUCUCCUUGCAGGAAACAAACUGCCCUUCUGACAGGCUGUCUGCUCCCAGACUUUUCCAUCUCUGAGCAUGAGAUUCUUGGGAAAUUCCAAUCUGUUGAAGCACUUUGCAUAGGUGGUGUGAUAGCUACAGAGAAGGGCGUGAGCAUCUCUUUAGCAUCGUCCUCUUUCCUGCUGAGACUAUUGCAUUUCCCCACACUGUUUUCACACCUCAUCCUUGAGGUGCACGUGUCUUAAGCACAUAUCAUAAACAGAAUAUAAGCUGGAAACUAAGUUAGAAGACAUUCAGUUAUCCCACACAUAAGAACCAUUUCUCCAUAACCUCUUUGGAAGGGUUGUCACAAGUGACUCCAUUUUUGUUGUUUGCUUUGAAACCGUCUCACUAUGAAACCCAGGCCCAUCUCAAACUUACAGUCCUCCUACUUCAGCUUCCCAAAUUCUGGUUUUUAGGCAUGUGCUACCAUGCUCAGCAUGACUCCACUUUUAUUUUGAUAAUUUAUUCCUUGUUUCUGAACAAUAUAAUCUGAUGAUAUUGACGAUUAACCAUCUGGUGGUUUGAUUUCAGUUAUUUUUCAUCAUUGGUGUUCUUUCCAGAGAAUGAUCCAAAAUAGCUGUACUUUUAGAUUUGAGUGGAGUGAGUUUCUUAAGCAUGAAGCAAACAAAAAUAAAACGAAAAAGCCCCAGCAAGUUACAGAUAGAUGGCAAAACAUCAUCAAAUUAGAUGCCUACAGCAUCCAUCAGAAAUGACUGAGGAAGCCCUGUGAGGCAGCCAGCUCAAGUUCACAAGGAGGUGGACUUCAGAUAUCAGCUGACUACCUCUGGAUUCCUGGCCUUGGUGGGGAAUGACUCCUAUAUCUGCAGAACAAAAGUCUUGAGCCAGGAUCAAGAUGUGAGCUCUCAGCUGUUUCUGCUGCCAUGCCUUUGCUCUGCUGUCAUGGACUCUAACCUGAAUCUGUAAGCCCAACAUUUCUUUUAUAAGUCACCUUGGUCAUGGUAUCUGAUUUCAGCUAUGGAAAAGAAAUUUAGACAAGAGAUUUCAGGAAGAACAGAGUUCUGGCUUCUUGCUGGCAUCUUCUCCAGACAGAAACAUUGGACUUAUGCCACAAACUCUGCCAGUCCAUGUGACCUGAGGACAACUCCCGUCCAGGGAGUAGCACCAGACCUGUACCAGUAACUCCACCCAUCCUGGAGACCCAUCUCUGCCACAAGGGCCGCAUGUCUUACGCCUGACUUCUUCUCCAGAAAACACCCUGGAGGGAACUGAUGCCGUAAUGCCAGUCACCCAAGAGCUAUCGAAUCACCUAAAAUAUCCUGGGCUCAUCACUCCCCAGUCAAUCUUUGGAAGCCAAGUGGAAAAACCUACAGGAGGAACCCAGUGGAUAGAUGCUCUUGUGAGCCUAUUAGGGGUUCUGAAGGACUUUAAUGUAGAAUGAUAAAUAAAGACUCAGAGACUGGUACUAGAGUUCAAGCUUCAAGCUGAAGAUCAGAAAAGGAAAGCAGCUGGCCACUAGGUCUUACCUCUAGCUCAGGCUGUAAGGCGAUCCUGGCUCCACUCAACCUCGGACUGAAAGCCCAGAUUGCUAUGCUCUCCUCAACAAGGCUGGAGAAUCCUGAGACUCCUAUCUUCAGUGUGACUGGAGAAGGAAUGCCAGCUCUGAGACCCUGUUCCUGCCUUAAAUACCUCUCACGAGUCCUGGAAUUAAAGGAAGGAUGAUGAGAGCAGGCAUUAGAAGCUGGCCAGGAAGAGCAGGGACCCCCAAAGCGGCAAACCCAAGGAUGUUGGAAGAGUCUGCAUCUGUUCCCUCCUCCAGAUGCGCACCUCUGCAAACCCUCCAUGAGGAUGAAACUGAGAGGAGGCACCCAGACACCUGGCUGAACAACUCAUCUGCCUCUCAUAAGUCAUCCCAGUUUUGCCAGAUGUCCUUUUUAAAAUGACCCAGUGUCACAGUUCAAGCCUAUUUCUUGGAGCCCUUCUUGCUAUCUCCCUUUCUCUUUUAAGCUACCACUACAUAAUAAAUUUCUCUCUAGAACUCA